GACGAACGCUGGCGGCGUGCUUAACACAUGCAAGUCGAACGGUGAAGCGCCUUCCUUUUGGUGGGUGUGGAUGAGUGGCGAACGGGUGAGUAACACGUGAGUAACCUGCCCCCUUCUUCUGGAUAACCGCAUGAAAGUGUGGCUAAUACGGGAUAUUCUGGGUCUGUCGCAUGAUGGGUCUGGGAAAGAUAUUGUUUCGGUGGGGGAUGGGCUCGCGGCCUAUCAGCUUGUUGGUGGGGUGAUGGCCUACCAAGGCGGUGACGGGUAGCCGGCCUGAGAGGGUGGACGGUCACACUGGGACUGAGACACGGCCCAGACUCCUACGGGAGGCAGCAGUGGGGAAUAUUGCACAAUGGGCGCAAGCCUGAGGCAGCGACGCCGCGUGAGGGAUGGAGGCCGUCGGGUUGUGAACCUCUUUCGCCAGUGAAGCAGGCCUGCCUCGUUUGUGGGUGGGUUGACGGUAGCUGGAUAAGAAGCGCCGGCUAACUACGU
rnacentral:rRNA from 1 species